AAGGAUUUAAGUUAAAACCCAAACUAGCAGCCUUCAAAGCUGUCAAUAGAGAGGCUCUCUAAGCCUUA
rnacentral:tRNA from 1 species